rnacentral:tRNA from 1 species
GGCCUUCGUAGUACAGUGGUUAGUAUAGAGGAUUGUGGAUCCUCGGACAGGAGUUCGAUUCCCCUCGAGGGCCU